GACGAACGCUGGCGGCGUGCCUAAUACAUGCAAGUCGAGCGGACGAUUCGAAAGCUUGCUUUUGAAUCGUUAGCGGCGGACGGGUGAGUAACACGUGGGCAACCUGCCCUGUAGACGGGGAUAACACCGAGAAAUCGGUGCUAAUACCGGAUAACACGAAAUGUCGCAUGACGUUUCGUUGAAAGGCGGCGCAAGCUGCCGCUACAGGAUGGGCCCGCGGCGCAUUAGCUAGUUGGUGAGGUAACGGCUCACCAAGGCGACGAUGCGUAGCCGACCUGAGAGGGUGAUCGGCCACACUGAGACUGAGACACGGCCCAGACUCCUACGGGAGGCAGCAGUAGGGAAUCUUCCGCAAUGGACGAAAGUCUGACGGAGCAACGCCGCGUGAGCGAAGAAGGCCUUCGGGUCGUAAAGCUCUGUUGUUAGGGAAGAACAAGUAACGUAGUAACUGACGUUACUAUGACGGUACCUAACGAGAAAGCCACGGCUAACUACGUG
rnacentral:rRNA from 1 species